ACAAUGGAGAGUUUGAUCCUGGCUCAGGAUGAACGCUAGCGGGAGGCCUAACACAUGCAAGCCGAGC
rnacentral:rRNA from 1 species